UUGGUCUGUUCUGUAGAUUCCCCAUUCUGUUGUUAAUUGUACAGUUGGUCUGUUCUGUAGAUUCCCUAUGCUGUUUUUAUUAAACCAGUAGGUAUGUUCUGUAGAUUCCCCAUGCUGUUUUUAAUGGUACACCUGGUCUGUUCUGUAGAUUCUCCAUGCUGUUGUUAAUGGAACAGUAGGUAUGGUCUGUAGAUUCCCCAUGCUGUUGUUAAUGAUACAGUAGGUCUGUUCUGUAGAUUCCCCAUGCUGUUGUUAAUGGUACAGUAGAUCUGUUCUGUAGAUUCCCCAUGCUGUUGUUAAUGGUACAGUAGGUAUGUUCUGUAGAUUCCCCAUGCUGUUGUUAAUGGUACAGUAGGUCUGCCCCUAAGAUUCCCCAUGCUGUUGUUAAUGGUACAGUAGGUCUGUUCUGUAGAUUCCCCAUGCUGUUGUUAAUGGUACAGUAGGUCUGUUCUGUAGAUUCCCCAUGCUGUUGUUAAUGGUACAGUAGAUCAGUUCUGUAGAUUCCCCAUGCUGUUGUUCAUGGUACCGUAGGUAUGUUCUGUAGAUUCCCCAUGCUGUUGUUCAUGGUACCGUAGGUAUGUUCUGUAGAUUCCCCAUGCUGUUGUUAAUGGUACCUUUGGUCUGUUCUGUUGAUUCCCCAUGCUGCUUUUAUUAAACCAGUAGGUCUGUUCUGUAGAUUACCCAUGUUUUUGUUAAUGAUACAGUAGGUCUGUUCUGUAGAUUCCCCAUGUUGUUGUUAAUGAUACAGUAGGUCUGUUCUGUAGAUUCCCCAUGCUGUUGUUAGUGAUACAGUAGAUCUGUUCUGUAGAUUCCCCAUGCUGUUGUUAAUGGAACAGUAGGUUUGCUCUGUAGAUUCCCCAUGUUGUUUUUAAUGAUACUUUUGGUCUGUUCUGUAGAUUCCCCAUGCUGUUGUUAGUGAUACAGUAGAUCUGUUCUGUAGAUUCCCCAUGCUGUUGUUAAUGGAACAGUAGGUCUGUUCUGUUGAUUCCCCAUGCUUUUGUUAAUGGUACAGUAGGUCUGUUCUGUAGAUUACCUAUGCUGCUUUUAUUAAACCAGUAGGUCUGUUCUGUAGAUUCCCCAUGUUGUUGUUAAUGGUACAGUAGGUCUGUUCUGUAGAUUACCUAUGCUGCUUUUAUUAAACCAGUAGGUCUGUUCUGUAGAUUCCCCAUGUUGUUGUUAAUGAUACAGUAGGUCUGUUCUGUAGAUUCCCCAGGCUGUUGUUAAUGAUACAGUAGGUCUGUUCUGUAGAAUCCCCAUGCUGUUUUUAAUGAUACAGUAGGUCUGUUCUGUAGAUUCCCCAUGCUGUUGUUAAUGGUACAGUAGGUCCGUCCUGUAGACAUGCAUACUGUAGUUUUACUUUAGGAUCGUCUUUCUCGCACUUACCCACACACACACACACAUACUCCUUUGCCUUCGACUCAUCAUUGUGUCUUAAAUCUCUUUCCGCUUCAUUCUGGAUGUGAGGCGACAAGAGGAGGUGCGCUCUAUAGGUGAAAAGGGGCUGAAAAUAACUUCUAUUUGUUUGCAUGUAUCAGACAGGCUUAAAAGGCACCCUCUACUCGACUCCCUCUCAGAGCAGGAGACGGAUGAAAUAUCCCACCACUCUUUGAGAUAACUAACCCGUGGGAGGUGAGUUAGGUACAGUUAGCCGUGAAAGGGGGAAAUGAAUGGCAUAAAUGCCUGUUUAAAACACAUGUGAGGAGUAGAUACAUUAGAAUAAGCCCACUUUCCUUCAAAACCUCUCCAUGAAAUAUGUGUUCCUUUUCAGUAUACAGGAGAUAUGUGUUUACGCCUCGUCAAACUCCAUAACUACGGUAACAUACUGUACAUUAUCUGUGUCAAUGUGUGGGCACUGUUGGUGUCUGUGAUGAUAACGGCAGUAGGUGUUGAGUUCUAGAAUUUAUUGUUAAGGUUGACUAUUGUGGCGGAUAUGUGUGCAGAAGAACAUGCUGACCACAAUAGUAUUUAACAUACCAAUAUGUCCCAAUGAACACACCUGAACACAUGUAAUGCAUACACACACAUACACAUACAUACACACACACACACACACACACACACACACACACACACACACACACACACACACACACACACACACACACACACACACACACACACACACACACACACACACACACACACACACACACACACACACACACACACACACACACACUGCAAACUAACACACGCUGUGGUGUCCUGUGCCUGUGUGGCCCAGUGCUGGGAUGCAGAGUGAAGCAGGAAAUGUGUGAGCCAUGAAGGCAUGUGUUUAUGCUGGCUGCAGCCGGACAUCACCAGCCAGAGGGAAAACAGACACUAACAGCACUCUCCCCUUCUCCUUUCUCCCUAGUCCUUCUAGUCAGAGACAACCUUUUCCCUCUUUCUCUUCUCCCUUCUCUCUUAGAGAGAAUUAUUUUUCUCCCUUCUCUCUUAGAGAGAAUUCUUAUUUCUUCAUUUUCUUCACAAAAUAAAGGCCAUCUGGUUAUAUAGAUGAAGCUAAUAAAGCUGCAGUUGCAUGGCCAUAACACGUUCCUGACUGUGUAGUAAUUACAGCCAUUGUUUGGUUUUUGUAGGAAGUGAACUUGACUCCUUUGGCCACCUCACUCACUGGUGUUGGCCACCACCCUGCACUAACAACAACAAACUUCCUUGGUGUCUCACUAAACAGUUGAAUGGGUUUCAGUGUUUCUCCGCUGUAACACGCACCAAUAAACAUGACCUGCUGUUUCCCAACAUAUCUUCUGUGUAGUGAUUGGACCCAGGGCCAGUGAUGGUGUGAGAUGUGUCUGGGUGGAUAGAGCUCAGCAGAGUGUGUAGAGGGGAGGGGAGGAGAGGAGAGGCAGUGUGAGAAAGGCAUGGAGGGGAGCAGCGUGGUGGUGGGACUGGGGGGCAGCGUGGGCCAGCUGGAAGUGUGCAGUCAGCACAAUGUGGUUUUCCAGUUCAGCUCAGUCUGGGAAAAUCCAUUGCUCUGUUUCUCGUUUAGCCACUAAAGGAACGGCGCUCUUAGGCACCCGGUGAGGGAGCGAAAGAGAGAAAAAGAGAGGGGGAGGAAUAGAAGAGAGAGAGAGAAAGGCAGCGAUGAGGUUAUUCUAUUUGAUUCUGUGUUUUAAUGAAACAGUUUAUAAGCUGCUGGCAGAACAAAGUGUUGUCGUUCAGUAAAGAAAGGAGGAGGGGCUGAGGGGCCUAUUAGAGGUAAUGACGCUGAUUGAACGGUUUGAUGGUCGUCUAAGUUGAAUGAAAGAAAAGACCGUCAGGAUACAACUUGAAAGCCCCCAAUGGUCUACUUCAUCCUAAGCACAUGCACGUUUUGACCCAAGUACUCCCUUGUUCUUCUCAGAAUCACUAACACACUGCUUUUCUUAUUGAGUACGUCAAAGCGAGGCGCCUCUCAUCCACUGCCAUCUUGCUCUAAUAGCGUACACCCAUAGCGGUCAGUGGGAAAUUGGUCCAUACACCGGACCCCUGUGGGGGUCAGCUGGAGAGGAGACAGUCUGCGGCCAUGCAAUGGUGGUCUAUAUAUGGUCUGCAUGGUCAAUGUCAGUGGGGUCUAUGGGGCUAAGUCUCAGUGAGCGUGUGGAUCUGUGUGAUUGAGUGAUUGAGCGCUUAGUGUUUGAGCUGACAGCCUCAACAUGUUAAUCCUCCACCACUCCACACAGCAGCUCUUCCACAGCAGAGUAGGGGACAGCUAGGAGGAUUUCAGUAGUGAUUCGUCAAAAAGCUCCUUAAUGAUUUAAUCAUUUGAGAUUCAUUUGCUGUAAUACACAGGGUCUGUACACACUCAGGGCUGAUGUGAGAGUCGUGAUUAUGGCGUUGGAUUAAAGACAGGGUUGUGCUUUUCUGAUUGGGGGCAGGGUCUGUGGUAGAGGUCAGCAAGGCUUGUUUGGAAUUAGAUGAUCCUUUGGGUUUGAGAUCCAGGAUCCACUCUGGCCCAGGCCCUCUUGCAUGCAAUAUUAUGAAUUACCUUCACUUUUUGGAAUGGCAAAUAUCCGCUUGCUGUGGCUUAGGGUGUUGAUGCUCGAAAAGUACAAAUGUACCAAAAACCUGAUAAUCUCAUAUAGCUCAGUCACACCCCUGCCUCAUAUUCUCUCUCUCUCUCUCUCUCUCUCUCUCUCUCUCUAUCUCUCUCUCUCUCUCUCUCUCUCUCUCUCUCUCUCUCUCUCUCUCUCUCUCUCUCUCUCUCUCUCUCUCUCUCUCUCGCUCUCUCUCUCUCUCUCUCUCUCUCUCUCUCUCUCUCUCUCUUUCUCUCUCUCUCUCGCUCUCUCUCUCUCUUGUGUGUUCUAUUACAAACACACACACACCGACUCAUUGGAUCAGCUGGUUGCUCUCUGAUAGCUGGUCAAUAAUCUGUUCUGACCCCGUGUCCUGUCACUCUGAGCUCUAAAGCCACAGGUCUUAAAGGGCCUCUGUCUCUCUCUGUCUCUGACCCCAGGUCUUAAAGGUGCUCAUCUCCCUGGGGCCUCUGUCUCUCUCUGACCUCAGGUCUUAAAGGUGCUCAUCUCCCUGGGGCCUCUGUCUCUCUCUGUCUCUGACCCCAGGUCGUAAAUGUACUCAUCUCUCUGGGGCCUCUGUCUCUCUCUGUCUCUGACCUCAGGUCUUUAAGGUGCUCAUCUCCCUGGGGCCUCUGUUUCUCUCUGUCUCUGACCCCAGGUCUUAAAGGUGCUCAUCUCCCUGGGGCCUCUGUCUCUCUCUGUCUCUGACCCCAGGUCUUAAAGGUGCUCAUCUCCCUGGGGCCUCUGUCUCUCUUUGUCUCUGACCCAAGGACUUAAAGGUGCUCAUCUCCCUGGGGCCUCUGAUUCUCUCUGUCUCUGACCCCAGGUCUUACAUGUGCUCAUCUCCCUGGGGCCUCUGUCUCUCUCUGUCUCUGACCCUCCCUGGGGCCUCUGGAUCUCAGCCAACUCUCAGAGAUACCGACUGCUUUGGCCUGGGUCAUCAAUACUCCCAGUUUACUAUGUUAGCAGUACGUGGUAAAUGUUUCAGUCAACUCCUAUGGAAAGUCUUGCUUCAGUGUUGGCUGUGUAAAACCACCUGUGAAGUGUGAUUUUCCUGUCUUCCCCUCUGCCCACGCACUACCAACCUUUGAUCCUGUUGCUCAGGAUAAAUGUUCCCUGCCCUGUGCUGCCAUUGGACUGAUUUAUAUAUGUUGAAUGUAAAGGGCCCUGCUAACAUGGAAGAGAAGAGUUUACUGUUUGAAGACAAGUCUCAUUCACCACUAUUCUAACCUUGAGGAUCAAGUGAAUGGUACAGAGGAUUUGGAAACGAUGGCCAAAAACCUUCAUUGAGGCGUGAGAGAAGAAGAGGUGAAGGAAGAAGAGAAGAAGGGAGGAAGAGCCUACAUGGAAAGAUCCAGCUUCUCAUAUCGCACCAAUUAAAGGAACAUUCAGGAGCCGGUUUCUGCUGAAAGCAUUUCCAGACCUUCCUCUCUCUUUUUUUUCCAUUUCAUCUUACGAUCCCAGUGGGCUGACUAUCGGUGAGGUAUUUCCUGCAGUAAGUUUUCUUCAAGCUCUCUCUCGCCCUGCACUGGGAGCUGUGAACCGGCGCAGGCGCCCAGACUGCUAUAGGAACAGUCUCCAGCCUAGAGAAACACAAGCUCUCUUCACUCACGUCCUGAACCCUCCUCUCCACAACCAGACAGAGACACAGCCAGUCCUCUCAUUCCGCCACGCUAGAGAAGGACCAUGAGAUGUGGCUUGGUCCUCAUUGGUUUGGAGAUUGGGAAGUGUAUGACUUAUUCAGUUCCAAAUGAAUAGAUCCUCUAGUCUCUUGCUCUGGCUCUCUGUCUAGUGCUGCAUGGGAGGAAUCACUUCAGCUAAAAUCAUCUUCCCCUGCUAUGAAAUGUUUGUUGACAUGAGUACAAUAUGUGAAAAACGUACUGUACUUGCCUUAACGCCAGUACUUGCUUGUAAUUUGUGAUGUGAAAUCCCCCCUACAUUCUCCCAUCUCCACCUUUCAUCCAGCAAGUCUGUCAAAAGAACCCAGUUGACCUAUGGCCCCCAUGGAUUGAUGAAUGCUCAGAUGCAUGGAGAUCUCCCAAUGAAACCAUUUUCCCACGGCUCAUAAAGGCAUAAAGGGAUAACAGGAAGUGAAUGGGAGAGCGGAGGACAGCGGGACUCUUACCACUGAAUGGAUCUAAGAGUAGAUCCCUAGCGGCCCCAACAUAGAGCCAGGGGGGACGCCAGGUUUUUGUGUUUUAGUAGCACUGGCUGAUAUGUUAGAUCAAUCUCCCUCCAUAUGUCCUGAGAGUGCCUCUCUGGUUCCCCCUCUCCCUGGGAAGAGGACCACCAGCCUCCCUGUUCACCUUGGUCACAGGCUCAGCCUCUGCGAGGAAAGACAACUGGUUAGCUAUCAGUCAUUUGCAUUCAGCAGCCAGGGCUGUUAUUUUACCAGGGCCGUUAGUUUCAGCCCCGCCACUCCUCUCCUCCCCAGCCAGAGAGAGGUAGAAAAAAAGACACUAUUAGACUGGAGCCCAUCCUGUGUUUACAUGAGAUGGGAAACAGCUAUGGACUUUUUUCUCCUUUUUUUUCCAGCUCCUGCAUUUUUGUGUAGGUGUGGUGAGAAGCCCACAUCUGCAGUUUUGAGCGGCGGGAUUUGAAACUCAAGCAAAAUAUACAGGAGCGUUCUUUUCAUCAAGAGCGCUUCCACAAACAGAAAAGAGAAAGAGACAGGGAGAUGACCAUUAGUCUGUUCUUUCCUUAAUUCCACUGGAAGAUAAGUGACAUCACAUGUUGGCUGUGGUUGAGGAAAAACAGAGAAAGGAGAAAGGAAGGAAAGUUCUAUUGAAGAGCAUGAUGAGGAGGAAGAUAAGAUUGAUGAGGGGAAAGUAGAAGGUUUGAUAGGUAGUGGGGAUUGGGGACAAUGCAGAGUCCAUUUCAUUUCAUUGCAUCAUCAUCGUCAUCCCAGCAUGCAUGUACCUGCUGAUUCUCUGCUCAUAGACUCUGUACACUCUUAGAAAAAAAGGUGCUAUCUAGAACCUAAAAGGGUUAUUCGGCUAUCCCCACAGGAUUACCCUUUGAAGAACCCUUUUUGCUCCCAAGUAAAACUCUUUUGGUUCCAGGUAGAACCCCUUUGAGUUCCAUGUAGAACCCUUUACACAGAGGAUUAUACAUGGAGCCCAAAAGAGUUCUAGCUGGAUCCAAAAAGGGUUUUACCUGGAACCAGAAAGUGUUCUCCCAUGGGGACAGCCAAAUAACUUUUGGAACCCUUUUUUCUAAGUGUGUAGCAUCCCUCUCUGUUUGUUUGAUUGGUGGUCUGUCCCCAGCCACAGUGGAGCCAACCACCAUCCGUUACAUAUCCACAGACACCUCUGCAGCGGUUUUACACGACCACUCCAGCUAUCAAACCAGUGCAUAUGAUCAUCACUCCUUUCACCGUCCUUUUGUUGAUUGGCCACUCCUUGGACGGCAGCCAAUGGGAGCGAUGGGGUGGUCCGGGCCACAGUGAGAGUGAUGAGGGGUUAACCAACCACGGUGACUGGCAGCCCGUGUGCCGCCCUGCUCUCCUCUUUGCCCAUCCUUGAGCAUGCCCUGCAGGCGGCCCUCUAAUCCAGAGCCAGCACUAGUACGGCUUCUGGUGCCAGUGGUAAUGAAGUCCUGAUUUGAUUAUGAUGUGUAAUGAGCAUAGCAACAGACUGUGGCCGGCUCAGUUUGGGCUCCCCUUACAAAACUAGAGCCCUGAUGUUCUGUUGUUACACUGAGGGCUCGGAUCACACACAAACCACAAAUCCUCACACACACACACACACACACACACACACACACACACACACACACACACACACACACACACACACACACACACACACACACACACACACACACACACACACACACACACACACACACACACACACGCACAACCA